UGGGGAAUAUUGCACAAUGGGGGAAACCCUGAUGCAGCGACGCCGCGUGAACGAAGAAGGUAUUCGUAUCGUAAAGUUCUGUCCUAUGGGAAGAUAAUGACAGUACCAUAGAAGAAAGCUCCGGCUAAAUACGUGCCAGCAGCCGCGGUAAUACGUAUGGAGCGAGCGUUGUCCGGAAUUAUUGGGCGUAAAGGGUACGCAGGCGGUUUAAUAAGUUGAAUGUUAAAGAUCGGGGCUCAACCCCGCAAAGCAUUGGAAACUGAUAAACUUGAGUAGUGGAGAGGAAAGUGGAAUUCCUAGUGUAGUGGUGAAAUACGUAGAUAUUAGGAGGAAUACCAGUAGCGAAGGCGACUUUCUGGACACAAACUGACGCUGAGGUACGAAAGCGUGGGGAGCAAACAGG
rnacentral:rRNA from 1 species